rnacentral:rRNA from 1 species
UACGUAGGGUGCAAGCGUUGUCCGGAAUUAUUGGGCGUAAAGAGCUCGUAGGCGGUUUGUCGCGUCUGCUGUGAAAUCCCGAGGCUCAACCUCGGGCCUGCAGUGGGUACGGGCAGACUAGAGUGCGGUAGGGGAGAUUGGAACUCCUGGUGUAGCGGUGGAAUGCGCAGAUAUCAGGAAGAACACCGAUGGCGAAGGCGGUUGCCUGGGGCUUUGCUGACGCUGAUGCGCGAAAGCGUGGGGAGCGAUCCGG